CCAGCUGAGCUAUCCCGAC
rnacentral:tRNA from 1 species